GAUGAACGCUGGCGGCGUGCUUAACACAUGCAAGUCGAACGAAGCAUUUUUUAUGAAGUUUUCGGAUGGAUUAAGAAAUGACUUAGUGGCGGACGGGUGAGUAACGCGUGGGUAACCUGCCUCAUACAGGGGGAUAACAGUUGGAAACGACUGCUAAGACCGCAUAAGCCUACAGUGCCGAAUGGUACCGGAGGAAAAAAUUUAUUGGUAUGAGAUGGACCCGCGUCUGAUUAGCGAGUUGGUGGGGUAACGGCCCACCAAGGCGACGAGCAGUAGCCGACUUGAGAGAGUGAUCGGCCACAUUGGGACUGAGACACGGACCAAACUCCUACGGGAGGCAGCAGUGGGGAAUAUUGCACAAUGGGGGAAACCCUGAUGCAGCGACGCCGCGUGAGUGAAGAAGUAUUUCGGUAUGUAAAGCUCUAUCAGCAGGGAAGAUAAUGACGGUACCUGACUAAGAAGCCCCGGCUAACUACGUGCCAGCCGCCGCAGUAA
rnacentral:rRNA from 1 species